AUAUUCACUUUGGCAGUACAUGCACUAAAAUUAGAACAAUACAGAGAAGAUUAGCAUGGCCCCUGUGUAAAGAUGAUACAUAAAUAAAAUGUUACACAUAUGU
ensembl:snRNA U6 U6 spliceosomal RNA